AUGAAUAUGGCAUGGGAGGAUUUGUGUCCCAUGGUUGUUAGAUUGUGGAGCUUGAAGGUUCUGUUCUGUUCCCCCUUAUUUAUUUGUUUGUUUGUUUGUUUGCAGUAUUUAUACCCUGCUUUUCAUCCCAAAGGGGACUCAGAGUGGCUUUACAGAACAUAUACAGUAUAUGGCAAACAUUCAAUGCUGAUUAUACAAUUAACAAGGACAGACAACACAGAAGAGGGGACUCAAAGCGGUCCAUCUUCUAUCACUGGAGGCCCAGGUGAAUCCUAAGGCUUCGGAUGGCUGCAGCUAGCCCUGGAUGGUCCACCAACAAUAACUCUUCUGAAUAAGGAUAACUUGGCCAAAGUAAUUCAUGCACUGAUUACUGCAAUGCACAGAAAGGCUGAAGCUCGCACAAUAUGCUCUCGCCUGAUGGGAGAAUGAGCCUAUGCCAAAGAAGCCUGAAGAAUCUACAUAACAUUGACAUUAAAGAAACUGCAUUGAUUUCAAUAUGCUUUCAAUCUGAGUUGAGGUGCUUAUAAUGUGAUUUAAAGCUCUAAGCAGCCUGGAACCUUAAUGCUUUAAAGAGUGUCUUUCUCUCUAUACAUUUCUACAUUAAUUUCCACACCAUGUUGAAAUUAAAAAUUAAGCUCAUACUUGUAUAUAUCACUUCUUAAGUGGCUCUUUAGUAUUUUAAAUCCAUAUUUGCACAGUCUUUCCUUCAACUACAUCCAAGUGCAGUCAUGGCCAUUGACAGAAUGUUUAAGAAAAACAGAAUGUGAGCAUUAAUCUAUACAUUAAACAUUAAAGUGUUUUACCUACAGCUUAAAUAUUUGAUUUAUAGAAAGCAGAAUACUUUCAUAGCCACAGGAGGUAAAAGUCAUAAUUCUACCUCAUGGCACUUUGAAAAUAUCAGAGUACUGAAGCAUCAAAAUACUAAAAGGGAAAAAUCUACAUGGACAUUUUAGCCUCCAAAGCUCUUGAGAGCUGACAACAUCAGAUAGUUUGAGACCUACCAUUAUGGAAAAUCUUUUUUUAAAAAAUCAGGCAACAAGUCCUUUUGAUCAAAUAAAUGCAAAUAGAUAAAAAUAAUAGAUUCUCAAACACAGGCCUUUGCUCUGCAGAAGAUUCCCUCUGAGAUUUAGCAUAGCAACACUCAGGAAGAAAGGCAUUUAGCUACAUAUGUAACAGGCUGGGAUUAGCAUAAAGAAAGCUAAUUGGCAUUUGCUUUGAAGUUCCAGUGUCAGGAAAGAGCAAUUAGGACAAGGAGUGCACACACACAAACACACACAACUGCACAAACAUGACCUCUAGAGUUCUAUCCGUGGAAUCUAGGUAUAGCUAAAACCAAUUAAUGAAGUUUCAGUAAACCAAAUUAUGUAUCACUAUGCUUUCCCACCCUUUUUUUGACAUCCAUUUUUUGACAUCAAAUAUAAGAAGAUAUAAUCAUCCACAUUUUUAAAAAAUGGAAUAGAUAAAAAUGAUAUGUAUAUGUAUGUAUGUGUGAAAAUAUAUUCUAAUGCAGGAAUUAUAACUUUCAAAAAUACUUCUCAGCAAAAGCACAGAAUGCUAAUUGUACUGGCUCGGUGGGACUGGGCUGAUUUCCUAUGAGAGGUAGACUGAAUUUAGAGCUGCAAGAUGGCCAGUUUUAAAUCAACUAAGCCAUUUGUGUGUGGUGUGUGUGGCCUGUAUUUUUAGCUCUGAUCCCUUGGAGAAUUUUACAAGCGCAGAAAUAAGCAUCAGAAGCAAAACUGGUCAGAUGGGAACUGACCCACGUUAAAGGUGCUCAAGUUUCAUUUCUGUCCUUUCCUUUUUUAUGGUGAGUGUUUUUGAUAAGGCCUUUGUUUAUAUUAUGGUGAAUUUUAAUUUUCCCUGGAACAACAGAAAAGUUGAUCACCUUUAAAAGUAAUCUGGGGAGUGCAAUACUGGCUGAGAUCCUUGUAAUCUUCAACUAUCUUAAUUUGUCAGGGAAAGCUCCAAUUAAGCCUUUGUCACCCCACAUUUACAACUGCUUUCAAAAUGGUUUGUUGUGUGGUUUCUGGGCUGUAUGGCAAUGUUAGUCGUCCCCCCCCCCCCCCCCGCUGUCCUCACAGUCUUCUUUUGAAGCAUAAUUUACUGUUAUGCUCAGGACUGCUUAAUAUAAGUAUAAGCAGAUUUGCAUGUGUGCAUAUGAGGUCCAGCAAAUAACAGUGGAAAUUUUUUAAAAACCACUUCUGUGGGAUCUCUCUCCCCGCCCCAAUUGUUAUUUUAACUGUUUAAGAUUAUAAAGUGUAAAAGAAAAAGUUUCAGAGAAUUCUAAUUGCUUUCUAUGUGUGCUUCCCUUGAACACCUGUGAGUUCAAUUUGACAGCCCAAUCAGUUGAUCAGCUAUUUAGGGCUUUUAAAAAGUGCAUGUGACCUGGAGCAGUCUACACUGGGAGAGGGAAGGAAAGCGUGUGUUUUGCAUGAAUGCAGGGAUAUACAGUCAUGCAAAGGUGCACAUUUUUCAGGCUGAACCAGGUUAUCUUUUUAAACACGUGUUGUUGUUUUUUUACCUCUUAACCCAAUCUCUUCCACACUUUGGCUAACUGCCCCCUCUCUAACCUGGUUAUUUCUGGGUUUUACAGCAUGUGUAGAAGGGCCCUGAAUUCCAAAUGCAAAAGUAUUUUUGACUCAAUUAACUUAGCAAAAGUGAAGGGAGAGGGGAGGCAGAGGCUUGCUCUUUGCUGUUAGUGCACACAAAAGCACACUGCUCCACUUCUCACUGGUUUGGGUAUUCUUCAUCAUUAGUCAUUUUUGCCAUCUUCACAAUGUUCUUGGUUAAGUGUCCCCAUUUUUAUUUGUGAAAUGUUAGAGAAUAUGAAUCUUGUUCAAUGUACUUAUGUAAUGGUGGCAUUCCAAGUGAUGCUUUGGCUGUUCUGCUGGCAGUUCUCAGCUGUAGGUUGGGCCUAUAUACUAGCCUGCUGGCACACUGUGGGUCCAUCCAGACAAACCCAUAAUGCGGGAUCUGUCUUGGUUUUACCAGAGGCAUCCAGAUGACAUUUCUGGUAAAACCAAAUUAAUUAAACACCCGGUAAGAUCCAGAUCUAUUUGGCAUGCAGCCACCCUACUUGGAAAGCCCUGUUUUUGGGGGCUUGU
rnacentral:lncRNA from 1 species